rnacentral:pre_miRNA from 1 species
AGUGGGAUUGCUGGGUUAUAUGGUAGUUUUGUGCUUAAUUUUUGGAGGAACUGCCAUGCUAUUUUCCAGAGAGGCUAUACCAUUUAUAUUCCCAGCAGCAAU